CCUACGGGAGGCAGCAGUGGGGGAUAUUGCACAAUGGGGGAAACCCUGAUGCAGCGACGCCGCGUGUGGGAAGACGGUCCUCUGGAUUGUAAACCACUGUCCCCAGGGACGGAGAUGACGGUACCUGGGGAGGAUGCCCCGGCUAACUACGUGCAAGCAGCCGCGGUAAAACGCAGGGCGCGAGCGUUGUCCGGAAUUACUGGGUGAAAAGGGAGCGUAGGCGGGACUGCAAGUUGGGGGGCAAAGCUACCGGCUCAACCGGUAGCCGCACUCAAAACUGCAGUUCUUGAGUGAAGUAGAGGCAGGCGGAAUUCCUAGUGUAGCGGUGAAAUGCGUAGAUAUUAGGAGGAACACCAGUGGCGAAGGCGGCCUGCUGGGCUUUUACUGACGCUGAGGCUCGAAAGUGUGGGGAGCAAACAGGAUUAGAUACCCCUGUAGUC
rnacentral:rRNA from 1 species